UACGUAGGGGGCAAGCGUUGUCCGGAAUUAUUGGGCGUAAAGAGCGUGUAGGCGGUCCGGUAAGUCAGCUGUGAAAGUCAAGGGCUCAACCCUUGAAUGCCGGUUGAUACUGUCGGGCUAGAGUCCGGAAGAGGCGAGUGGAAUUCCCGGUGUAGCGGUGAAAUGCGCAGAUAUCGGGAGGAACACCAGCGGCGAAGGCGGCCUUCUGGACGGUGACUGACACUGAGACGCGAAAGCGUGGGGAGCAAACAGG
rnacentral:rRNA from 1 species